rnacentral:rRNA from 1 species
CCCUUAGAUGUUCUGGGCCGCGCGCGCGCUACACUGACGAAUGCAACGAGCUUAUAACCUUGGCCGAAAGGUCUGGGUAAUCUCCAAAUUUCGUCGUGAUGGGGAUAGAUUAUUGCAAUUAUUAAUCUUCAACGAGGAAUGCCUAGUAAGCGCAAGUCAUCAGCUUGCGUUGAUUACGUCCCUGCCCUUUGUACACACCGCCCGUCGCUCCUACCGAUUGAAUGGUCCGGUGAAGCGCUCGGACCGCGGCCUCUUGACGGUUUUCCGUCGAUUGGCUGUGGGAAGUUCGUUAAACCUUAUCAUUUAGAGGAAGGAGAAGUCGUAACA